CAGGUGUUAGUCAAGCGGCCAAGACAUACCACUUUCAAUGGUAGAUCACGGGUUCAAAUCCCGUACACCUGACCA
rnacentral:tRNA from 1 species